ensembl:lncRNA
UAUGGAUUCAUUUGAAAGUGAGAAGCAAAGUGAUUUUUCUACAGGCAGCCAGUGAAGCUGAUGAAGAAAUGGGGUGAUGUUCUCUCUGGAGGGUGUCUGAGUUAUGAUCUAAAAGAUGGCUGUAGCUCAAAACAGGUAAAGCAGGUCACCUACUAACCGCAAGGUUGGUGGUUCGAUGCCUGUGUGCUCCAGUCUUGGGCAAGAUGCUAACAACAUGCUGCUCUCCAAUGCAUCCAUUGGAGUAGGAAUGCAUGUGUAGAUAGGAAGCGCUAGAAGAAGUGAAUGUACAAGUUGUUUAAAGCUGAGAUUGAGUAGACAAGCAUUAUAUAAGAACCAGUCCAUUUCACCAUGCUUCCUUUUGGAGUAUUUUUAAUAGAAUAGAAUUAACAGAAAAACGAUGUAGCUAGAAAACUACAUUUAUAAACUGCAUCAUACACCUGUUAAUUUUUACUGAGUAGUCAAGUUAAGCAGAGUUUUACUGUCAACCCAACAAUAUACACUCAAGUAUACAGUGGGAUAAAAUAUUGUCCUCCUGCAUCAAAGGUGCAAACUGUAAAAAUAAAAUGAAAAAUUCAAAUGUACAACUAUACAGAAAUAAGAUCAACUAAGAAUAAAUACAACAGUAUGGUACCUUAAUAGAAAUAGAAAGAAUCAGGAUGAGCUUAAAUACACUGACAGAGUCAAACAGUACAAUACAGCAUAGUGCAAGUAUUGGAUAUGAGAGGAGAGUGUUAUGUACAGUGUUGUGUUGUACAAGAAGUGUGUAGAGAAGAGGGUCCAGUGUGGAGGAGGGCAACAUGGUGUUCAGGAGCUGGACUGUUUGGGGGAAAAAGUUACUGCACAAUCUCGUAGACCUGCUCCUGAUGCUGCAGAGUCGUCUUCUGGAUGGAAGGGGAGUAAACAGUUGGUGGGAGGGGUGAUGCAGGUCGGCCAUGAUGCUAGUGGCUUUACGAAUGCAGCUUGAGGUGUAAAUAUCCUGUAGACUGGGUAGAGAGCCCCUGUUACUGAGUACAGUAACAGCCAAGAGAUGAUAUUAAGGUAAAACUAUUCAUGGAGACCAACAUUAGUUCAUGUAGAAAACUGUAAACAUGUUCAUUUCUGCUUUAAGUUGGACUUUUUAACACAAGAGUCUUUGUGGCUUACACACACAUGAGGCUAAUUCUUCAUGGAGCUGCUGGUCCAGGUAACAUCCCUGAAGGAGGCCUCAGAGUCUGAGUCGACCACACCACAGAAAUCCACAGUGUCCAACCUCAGUGACACUGUUACUGAGCAGCUUCAUCAGGACAUAAUCAAAGCCUGAGAAGACAGAAACAAUUCAGCAAACUGGAAAUGUUCAGACGCCAGAUCUGAGUGAAGAUACCAAAGAAGCAGGAAUUUCUUUGUCAGCCCGGCUAGCAAUCAUUGGAGCUGUAUUCAUCUGUAUCUCUCUGAUCUCAUGGGGAUUUAUGCUUUAUCAGAAUUGCAAAGAACCCAUCGCCUCACGCAAAACCAGGAAGUUAAUGAGGAAGAAGCUCUCAGCAGGUGAAACUUCUAGCUCAGAUUUAUGACGACAACAACAGCUGGAAGUUGCAGAUCUCAGACUGUGAAUCGAAACUCUUUAUAACACAUCAUGGCACUAAACCAGAUUUGAAGUCUUCAGUUUGAUGCUGUUCAGUAAGUUGGCGUCGAGAACCAACAGAGGGGGAAAAAAACAACAUAAACAAGAGAGAAAAGAUUUGAAUUCAGGGCUUCUGUCCAAUAUUGAUUUCCUUCAACUCAUUUGAACUAUAAAUAUCAUGAGCUGUUAAAAAAAAACAGAAUGAGUUGAAUUAAAGUUAAAGGAAAGUAGAAAACAAUAUUAACGGGAUGGAGCUUCAUGUUUUGUUUAAUAAAGUCUUGUUAUCAUUUUCAUUCACAGUAAAAUGGUUUCUGUACUUUUGUUUUCACGCGUCUGCUAAAAAAGCCCCGAAAAGUACACACACACACACACACACACACACAUAGGCCUUGGAAACCAGCCGCUUGAAGAAAUACACCUGAGAGAGGCAGGAUAACAAACCAGCUGUUCUCCAUGGAACCAGCCAAAGGUUUACUCUCAGUGGCAGGGGAACAAUAUGAGAACAGCACCACCAAGGCUGAAGACGGAGCAAUACGUGAAGAGCAUAUACUAGAAGGACGCAACCCAUAAUGGCAAUGCUCAGUGGCUAGUUGAUCUGAGGGCAGACCUCAGCGACCUC